rnacentral:pre_miRNA from 1 species
AAUGGAAUGGCUGUGUCAAAUGAUAAGUUUUUGUUUAAUUUUGUAAGACAUUGUCAAAUGUUUUUCCAGUGUGGCUAUGCCAUUUUGCAUUGCUACAGUAGCCUAU